GACAUAACCUUACCAGCAUCAGCCUAGGCUGUAGGCUAUGUCUUACUGUGCAUUUGAAUGUUUGCUGUGUGUUUAUCCAAGGAGUUUGUUAUGAUGACAAUACAUGAAGGUCCAAGCGAAACUUCGCAUCUCUUCUUCACCUCAAUGAUCAGGUUGGCACGGAGUUUGUUAUUGUGAUAAUUAUCAUGUGUUAACACAUGAUGGCUGAAACUUCGCGUCUUCUCCUCACUCCAAGGAACAGUUUGCCUCGAUGAUCAACAGAAAGCAGUCUUAUUAUGUGAAGUCUCGAGAGUUCAAGAUGAAUGCUCUAUCUUUGAAGCACCGUGGUGUAUUCCUUUCGGAUCAUCUCUAAUGUCCUGUACUUUCAUGCAAGUGAAAUCAAGUGAAAAGUGAAGUGGUUUCAGAAGCAUCGCAAGUGAAAUCAAGUGAAAAGUGAAGUGGUUUCAGAAGCAUCUUGAUUGACUCUCUUGUGACAUUAGAGACCUUCUAUAAAAUAUCUGUGCACUUUAAUGUGCUAUCAAAGGUCAAAACUGCUGUAAUGCUAAUAGUGCUCAGUAAAAUAUAAGCUUCUA